GUUGAACGCUGGCGGCAGGCCUAACACAUGCAAGUCGAGCGGUUGAGGUAGCUUGCUACCGAGACAGCGGCGAACGGGUGAGUAAUGCAUGGGAAUCUGCCUGGUAGUGGGGGACAACGUUGCGAAAGGAACGCUAAUACCGCAUACGCCCUACGGGGGAAAGGGUGGGAGCUUCGGACCUGUCGCUAUCAGAUGAGGCCAUGCCAGAUUAGCUUGUUGGGGAGGUAAAGGCUCACCAAGGCGCCGAUCUGUAACCGGUCUGAGAGGAUGAUCAGUCACACUGGAACUGAGACACGGUCCAGACUCCUACGGGAGGCAGCAGUGGGGAAUAUUGGACAAUGGGGGCAAACCUGAUCCAGCCAUGCCGCGUGUGUGAAGAAGGCCUUCGGGUUGUAAAGCACUUUCAGUGGGGAGAAAGGUCAUUCACCUAAUACGUGAGUGAAUUGAUGUUACCCACAGAAGAAGCACCGGCUAACUCCGUGCCAGCCGCCGCCGUAA
rnacentral:rRNA from 1 species